GACGAACGCUGGCGGCGUGCUUAACACAUGCAAGUCGAACGGAAAGGCCCUGCUUUUGUGGGGUGCUCGAGUGGCGAACGGGUGAGUAACACGUGAGUAACCUGCCCUUGACUUUGGGAUAACUUCAGGAAACUGGGGCUAAUACCGGAUAGGAGCUCCUGCUGCAUGGUGGGGGUUGGAAAGUUUCGGCGGUUGGGGAUGGACUCGCGGCUUAUCAGCUUGUUGGUGUGGUAGUGGCUUACCAAGGCUUUGACGGGUAGCCGGCCUGAGAGGGUGACCGGGCACAAUGGGACUGAGAUACGGAGCAGACGCGUACGGGAGGCAGCAGGGGGGAAUAUUGCACAAUGGGCGGAAGCCUGAUGCAGCAACGCCGCGUGCGGGAUGACGGCCUUCGGGUUGUAAACCGCUUUCGCCUGUGACGAAGCGUGAGUGACGGUAAUGGGUAAAGAAGCACCGGCUAACUACGUG
rnacentral:rRNA from 1 species